AGAGCGGCCCUACCCCCUCUAGGUGGUCUGCCAUCUGACCUAAGGACCAGGCCAGCCCUGGACCUGGCCGCCUAACCUGGACCCAGGCAGGAAUAAGGUCCCCGCUGUUCUGAUCUGCCGUUCUCUUCCCAGUUUAGCAGCCUCCUUUUACAGAUGGGGACCAGUCCACGUCCUAGAGGAGUUAGGAUGACCAUAGGACAUCAAGUACCUCCCUCACCCACCCACGUCUACCCUAGAAUUUCCAUGGCAACUAGGGCAGUGAGACUACUUUGAGGACAGCCAUAUAAGUUCUAGGUGAAUGACUCUGGUAGGCAUGCAUCCCAACACGCCACGACCCCUCAAUGCAGAACCCUCCCCUGAAGAGGACCUGCAGCCCUCAAACAGUCUGGACAAGGACGGGAGUGAAGGAGCACCACUGACACCAUACCUUGAUAGUGGUGAACUCCUUUCUCCAGGGCAGCAGCCAGCCACAAAAUGACAAGCUGGUACUCGACAAGGCCAAGGCCACAUUUAGUGAAAUCUUGCAGCCCCAUGGUAAGAAGCUCAGGGGUAAAGGAAUUCAAGUCAGGCGUCUCCUGGGUGCUGCCGGAACCAAAAGAAGUUAGACUUCAAGGUGGAGGCAUAGGCUCAACACCACGCCAAGGAAAUCCAAAGCGAUGCUGGGAGAGGGGAGAGGUUGGAACACAAGUGUUCAAUAAAUGCCCAAUAACUGAGUUACAUCUAGCCUGACUCCAAGAGGCUCCAACGACCCCACUACUACUGCCGUCUGGGACUGGAAACUCCCCCGUGUCCUGCCACCACCUCCUCACAGCAACCCCAGCUGCCAUGGGUAUUUCCUUUCCUGGGUGGGUCAGCUCGCCUCCGUGGAAGACACUGCCUGUGCUCGGAUGCCAGCAUCACCCUAGGGCCCCAGCAGAAUCAAAGGGCAUCGCUGUGUGUCCCUACACGUGGGGUGGUACUGUGGGACAUUUCAUUGUGUGUGUGAGUAGGAUGAUUACUCAGACACCUUCAGGGAACUGCUGUGGGCUCAGGACUACAGCAAUGACUCAAUUCCAGCCGUCCUAAUGACACCCUGCAGACACUUGCUAUCCCAGAGCGGGAAGUCCACAAUUUCCUGGCUGGGAACAGCCCUGGGAAGAGACUGCUUCUGUGCAGAGGCUCUGGGGUUGGGCUGUCAGCUGUGAUCUCUAGGAGACUGGCAGAGGCUGGCUGUGUUGCCUGAGUCCUGGCUGCCCAGUGGGUAAACGAACAAGUCACAUGGACUUCG
rnacentral:lncRNA from 1 species